UCGUCAGGUAGGAUAAUCCUUACCUGUUCCUCCUUUGGGAGGGCAGAUCGGAAUAUGAUGAUUGGAGUUCGCAUGAUGCGUGAUUAAAUUAUUUGACUGACACUUUACAGUGUGACCCAUGACAGAU